rnacentral:misc_RNA from 1 species
UUAUUUUCUAAAAAUUCUACCUCUAUAAAAAAAAUUAUUGUUUUCGCAUGUCUCCACAAUUCUUUUAUGAGAGUUUGUUUUUUAAAAAUUACAGUAAUUAAAAAAAAUAAUUAUUAAACUGAAGCCUUUUACAUGAAAAAUUAAAACUUGCAUUAAAUGAAAUAAAUAAAUGGGCUAGAACUUUAAUUUAACUCAAUCACUGUUGCUCGAUUCAGUUGUUAUGUCAUAUAACUCUUCAUUAUUUCGUCGAACGUUCUCUUGUUGUCUAUACUCUGCCUUGAUCCAAUCACCGACACAAGCUUGAGCUUCCAUAGAUUUUGGAUUCAUACAUGAACGAGUCUCAUCCAAUAUUCUAACCUCAGCAUUAAAAGCUUGUUCUAUGGCGACUGUUGAGACAGGUGAAACGAGAAUAUCCUUGGCUAUUUUUGCCAGGAUUGGAAAUUGCACAGUAUGUUGCUUCCACCACUGGAGAAUUGGAAACUCUAAAUCCGCAUACCCUUCACUUAACUCAAAAGAAGCUGUGAGAUAGCUUUCUAGUUCAGAAUUGUUACUUGUAGGUUGUGAAGGUUGGGAGCCAAUAUCAUCAUAUAAUUUAAUUACCUGUUCCCUAAUUUCAGUCAUUUUUUCGGUAAUAUCGAUUUGCAAGCCUAAACACUCAUAAUAAGUAAUCAAAUAGUUAUGUAAACUAUCUAAUUGACAUCGAGGAUAAAAAACACAUGCAACUAAAUUAAUAAGAGGAAUCGAUUUAUAAUAAUUUAACCAAGUAUCUUUCAUUGCCUUAAUAGGCUCCUUCAAAUCCUCAUCAUUUUCAUUAUCUUGCAAGACAGUAACAAUAUUAAUACAUUCACGUAAAAAUAAAUGAGCAGUAGGAUAGUAAACACUAGAUAAUGUGUGAGUAGCAUCAUUAAAUACCUUCAAAACAUCCAAAAUUUUUUGGCAUAUAUUCCAUUGAUGAGGAUAUAAAGUCACUUGAUGCACAUUGUUAGUAAUGAAAGUACACAGUAAUGCUCUGUAUUCAAAAGAUUCAUUAAGCAAAUCAUAAGUUGAAUUCCAACGAGUAGAAAUAUCUCUUGGAAAUUUUUUUGGGUUUGAUAUUAUUUAAUGAACAAAAUCUAAGCCAUUGUUUCAUAAUUUGUGGCUGUGUCCACAAAUAAUUAAUGGCAUUUUUAAUGGGCUCAAGAUGAAUUGCAAAAUAUUUUAAUAAAUCUUUCACACAUAAAUUUAAAACAUAGCAAUCACAUUUAAUAUGAAAAAAUCUAUCACCAAAAGUAAAUUUACACACUUUUUCUAAAUCAAAGAUUGAUACAUUAUUUGCUAAUACAUUGUCAAAAGAAAUUGAUGAAAUUUUAAAAAUUAAAUUAUAUUCUUCCAAAAUAGAUUUUAUUAAUUUGUAAAUGUUAUUAGCAGUAUUUGUUUCCGUGAAAAUUCUAAAUGCAAGUACUCGUUUUUGCACAUUCCAAUCUUCAUCAAUCCAAUGACAUGUAAUUCUUGCAUAUGAAUAUAUAUUCCAAUAAUCACUCCAAACAUCACAACAAAUGGCUACACGUCCAUCGAAAUUAUGAAACAAAAUUUGCAAUUCUUUUUUUCCUUUUUUAAAAAGCUUGUGAACUAUUUGUUUGAUAGUAUUGUUGGAAACAUGCUCAAUAGCAGGAUUUAAAGCUUUUUGACAAAAAUUAACAAAAGUUAUCUUCUCACCAAAAUUAAAAGAAAGGUUUUCAGUGCAAAUCAACCUGGCCAACUCCUCUAUGUAUC